UGGGGAAUUUUCCGCAAUGGGCGAAAGCCUGACGGAGCAAUACCGCGUGAGGGAUGACGGCCUAUGGGUUGUAAACCUCUUUUUUCAGGGAGGAACAAAAUGACGUGUACCUGAAGAAUAAGCAUCGGCUAACUCCGUGCCAGCAGCCGCGGUAAGACGGAGGAUGCAAGUGUUAUCCGGAAUCACUGGGCGUAAAGCGUCUGUAGGUGGUUUGAUAAGUCAACUGUUAAAUCUUGAGGCUUAACCUCAAAACCGCAGUCGAAACUAUCAGACUAGAGUAUAGUAGGGGUAAAGGGAAUUUCCAGUGGAGCGGUGAAAUGCGUAGAUAUUGGAAAGAACACCGAUGGCGAAGGCACUUUACUGGGCUAUUACUAACACUGAGAGACGAAAGCUAGGGUAGCAAAUGGGAUUAGAUACCCCAGUAGUC
rnacentral:rRNA from 1 species